CUUCAGAUAGAUAUUAAAAAUACCUAAAAGUGCAGGAUUGAUUACCAUCAUGAGGACCAUACUUACCCUUUGCGUCGUUGGCUUGGUGUUGACGGUGGCAUCUCUAGAAGCCGAUGCUAAACGGUUUGUUUUGGUUCAAGUUAAAACUGAUCCAAAUAUGGAUCAAAACCCUGAGGUUCUUGCUAGUGGUGGUGCAAAAGAUCAAUCUCAGUCUCUGUCCCAUACCGCAAGUAAGGGUAGCAGCAGCAGCGACGCAAAGCAUGAUGAUCAUGAUGACGAUAUUCUUGGUAAGUACAGUAAUGGCGCUACAACCCAAUGCAUGGCAGAUAAAAAGAGGCCUCAUUGUCGUUAACUACUGAGCCUAAAAGCCUUCAUACAUGAAUCAAUGAUGUUGUGUAAUAUGUAUAGUAUGUUUAGCUUGUAUGUACUUUUGGUAAUAAGUAAAGGGAAACUCAAUAGCAUGUGGCCAAAGUAUCCAAAAUAAUUAUAAGGCAGAUGUUUGUUUUACCCAGAAUCUUAAUAAUAUAUUAGAUGGUAAUCAGCUUUUACUAUA